GGUCGAUUAGUGUAGUGGUCAUCACUCGAGAUUUUGAAAUCACAUAACUUCUAAUUUUCUCGGAACCCCGGUUCGAACCCGGGAUCGACCU